AUUGAACGCUGGCGGCAUGCCUAACACAUGCAAGUCGAACGGCAGCACGGGAGCUUGCUCCUGGUGGCGAGUGGCGGACGGGUGAGUAAUGCAUAGGAAUCUGCCCAGUAGCGGGGGACAACUUGGGGAAACUCAAGCUAAUACCGCAUGCGCCCUACGGGGGAAAGCGGGGGACCUUCGGGCCUCGCACUAUUGGAUGAGCCUAUGUCAGAUUAGCUUGUUGGUGGGGUAACGGCCUACCAAGGCGACGAUCUGUAGCUGGUCUGAGAGGACGAUCAGCCACACUGGGACUGAGACACGGCCCAGACUCCUACGGGAGGCAGCAGUGGGGAAUCUUGCACAAUGGGGGGAACCCUGAUGCAGCGAUGCCGCGUGAGUGAAGAAGGCCUUUGGGUUGUAAAACUCUUUCGUCGGGGAAGAAAAUGACUGUACCCGAAUAAGAAGGUCCGGCUAACUUCGUACCAGCAGCCGC
rnacentral:rRNA from 1 species